rnacentral:sRNA from 1 species
CUGUUUUGUUUUCUGUU